AACGAACGCUGGCGGCAUGCCUAACACAUGCAAGUCGAACGAGACCUUCGGGUCUAGUGGCGCACGGGUGCGUAACGCGUGGGAACCUGCCCUUAGGUUCGGAAUAACUCCCCGAAAGGGGUGCUAAUACCGGAUAAUGUCUUCGGACCAAAGAUUUAUCGCCUUUGGAUGGGCCCGCGUUGGAUUAGCUAGUUGGUAGGGUAAAAGCCUACCAAGGCGACGAUCCAUAGCUGGUCUGAGAGGAUGAUCAGCCACACUGGGACUGAGACACGGCCCAGACUCCUACGGGAGGCAGCAGUGGGGAAUAUUGGACAAUGGGCGAAAGCCUGAUCCAGCAAGGCCGCGUGAGUGAUGAAGGCCUUAGGGUGGUAAAGCUCUUUUACCCGGGAUGAUAAGGACAGUACCGGGAGAAUAAGCUCCGGCUAACUCCGG
rnacentral:rRNA from 1 species